AUAUCACAAGAAUAACAUGAAAUUUGACUGAAUCUAUCAAGGGUGGCUCUGAUACCACUGUUGAAUUCUGGUGAUGCAGCAGAAUAUAGAUUUUAAAAUUUUUAACAUUUAUGCAAUAAUAAAAACUAAGUUUAACAAUUAAACUCAUUCAUCGAAACUCAAAAACUUUAUGAAUCUCUUGACGAUUACCAUCAAAUAACAAAAUCAAGCAUAUGAGGAGAAGACCAGAAGUCAUAUACCACCAU
rnacentral:lncRNA from 1 species